GUGGAAAAAGUAAUGAAAAAAAUUUAAAACAGCAAGUAACUCCUCAUCCUGUUUUGUUCCUUCCUUUGUUUUGUUUCUCUGUUUUCCCUAAAUUCCAUCUUGGUUCAUCAGAGAGCAAGUAACUCACCAUCGACUCUCCUCCUCCAGCGACCCACCGACUGUCCUCUAUCUGAGGCAUUUCUCUUUUUAAUUUUGGACAAGUGAGAGCAUGGAUGAACUUCAUAAGAUCACAAGGAGGCACAGGUUCUAUACAGAUUUCGGAUGCCUCUAGUGGACAUCGACGAGUUAGGGAGUCCGUGGGAGAUGACACCGAAGAUGAUGAAUUGUUGGAUUCUCAUGAGGAGGUUAUGCAAAAAGAUUAGUGGUGGUAGAUAUUAAUGGUAGGGCACGGGGAUAAUUGUUUUCUUGAACAUCUAUCUUUAUGUUUUGGGCUUGCCAUUUUUCUAUUUUUGUUUUCAAGUUUUGCAGAAAGAUUAGUGGUGAGGUAGAGAUUAAUGGUGGCAUGGGGGCUAUUUUUUUUUGAACAUGUAUUUUUAUGUUUUUGCUGUCAUUUUUCUAUUUUUGUUUUUCGGUUUUGCAGAAAGAAUAGUGAUGGUAGAGAUUGAUGGUGCGGCAUUGUGGCUAAUUAUUUUUUUGGAUAUUUUUUUGGCUGCCAUCUAGACUUAAGUACUUAAUAUUUAGAGCCUAUUGAUAUCUUAUGGUUUGUGUUAACCAAUUAUUGUUAAUAUUUUGAUGUAAUUGAACAGAUGUUGGAUUUAUAUUGAUUAAAUAUGUUUCUAUUAA